GCCGGAGUAGCUCAGUUGGUAGAGCAAUGGAUUGAAAAUCCAUGUGUCACCAGUUCAAGUCUGGUUUCUGGCA
rnacentral:tRNA from 1 species